AGGUUGGUUCGAUGAUCGCGAAGACGGAGGAGGUAUGUGAGCUGCUUCCUCCAGUAUUGCCUUGUGGUUUGAGGGUGGGAGCUGACGGAACCAAUCAGAGGGACGAGGAGGGUGAUCAUUUGCCCCUGUAUGCCAACGAGGUCCGUCGCAUGUUGAUUUCGAUCUGGAACGCAUUGAUCCAUCGAAAAUCCAAAUGCAUAUUGUUUUGAAUCCGAGGCCUAUAAUGACGUGCGCGUACAUAAUAAUCUCUCGGUCCUUCGCGACCCGGCGACGCAACCGGGAAUCCAAAGACGCGGAGGAGGAGGAAUAGAGAGCGCGAUGGGUCUGCAGGUCGAUUUUGAAGAAUAUGCUGCAAAAGCUAAAACUUUACCUGUAAAUACUACUAACAAGAGCAAAUUGAUCCUGUAUGGGCUUUACUAGCAAGCAACUGUCGGACCUGUGAAUACUAGUUGACCUGGUAUAUUCAAUAUGAGGGAUCGAGCCAAAUGGGAAGCUUGGAAGGCUGUUGAAGGUUUACAAAAUCCACUUGACAAAUCUUAUAUAUAUAAAUAUUAAUAAAUAAAUAUAAUUUGUUGGAUAAAAUUUAUUUCUUAUUUAAUAUUAGUAAAAUUG